CCUACCCCCCUACCCCCCUCUGGUCUGCCCUGCACUGCACUGUUGCCAUGGGCAGUGCUCCAGGCCUGCUUGGUGUGGACAUGGUGGUGAGCCGUGGCAAGGACCAGAAUGGAUCACAGAUGAUCGUUGGCCAACAGGUGGCAGAAGAGGAAUUCCUGCCUUCCUCAAGAGGAACACCUACCCCUUGGCUAAUGCUGGGGUCGGAUUUUGAUUUAUAUUUAUCUUUUGGAUGUCAGUCAUACAGUCUGAUUUUGUGGUUUGCUAGUGUUUGAAUUUAAGUCUUAAGUGACUAUUAUAGAAAUGUAUUAAGAGGCUUUAUUUGUAGAAUUCACUUUAAUUACAUUUAAUGAGUUUUUGUUUUGAGUUCCUUAAAAUUCCUUAAAGUUUUUAGCUUCUCAUUACAAAUUCCUUAACCUUUUUUUGGCAGUAGAUAGUCAAAGUCAAAUCAUUUCUAAUGUUUUAAAAAUGUGCUGGUCAUUUUCUUUGAAAUUGACUUAACUAUUUUCCUUUGAAGAGUCUGUAGCACAGAAACAGUAAAAAAUUUAACUUCAUGACCUAAUGUAAAAAAGAGUGUUUGAAGGUUUACACAGGUCCAGGCCUUGCUUUGUUCCCAUCCUUGAUGCUGCACUAAUUGACUAAUCACCUACUUAUCAGACAGGAAACUUGAAUUGCUGUGGUCUGGUGUCCUCUAUUCAGACUUAUUAUAUUGGAGUAUUUCAAUUUUUCGUUGUAUCCUGCCUGCCUAGCAUCCAGUUCCUCCCCAGCCCUGCUCCCAGCAAACCCCUAGUCUAGCCCCAGCCCUACUCCCACCCCGCCCCAGCCCUGCCCCAGCCCCAGUCCCCUAACCCCCCAGCCCUAGCCCCAGUCCCAGUCCUAGUUCCUCAGUCCCGCCCAGCUUCUCUCGAAAGUCACUCUAAUUUUCAUUGAUUCAGUGCUCAAAAUAAGUUGUCCAUUGCUUAUCCUAUUAUACUGGGAUAUUCCGUUUACCCUUGGCAUUGCUGAUCUUCAGUACUGACUCCUUGACCAUUUUCAGUUAAUGCAUACAAUCCCAUUUGUCUGUGAUCUCAGGACAAAGAAUUUCCUUACUCGGUACGUUGAAGUUAGGGAAUGUCAAUUGAGAGCUUUCUAUCAGAGCAUUAUUGCCCACAAUUUGAGUUACUUAUCAUUUUCUCGAUCCCCUGCCCUUAAAGGAGAAACCAUUUCUCUGUCAUUGCUUCUGUAGUCACAGUCCCAAUUUUGAGUAGUGAUCUUUUCUUGUGUACUGUGUUGGCCACCUAAAACUCUUUGCAUUGAGUAAAAUUCUAAUUGCCAAUAAUCCUACCCAUUGGAUUAGACAGCACUCUGAACCCCAUUUGCAUUCAGCAGGGGGUCGCAGACAACCCGUCUUUUGUUGGACAGUUAAAAUGCUCAGUCCCAAUUGUCAUAGCUUUGCCUAUUAAACAAAGGCACCCUACUGCGCUUUUUGCUGUGCUUCUGGAGAAUCCUGCUGUUCUUGGACAAUUAAAGAACAAAGUAGUAAUUGCUAAUUGUCUCACCCAUUAAUCAUGAAGACUACCAGUCGCCCUUGCAUUUGCCUUGAGGCAGCGCUGACUACCUGAGAUUUAAGAGUUUCUUAAAUUAUUGAGUAAAAUCCCAAUUAUCCAUAGUUCUGUUAGUUACACUAUGGCCUUUGCAAACAUCUUUGCAUAACAGCAGUGGGACUGACUCAUUCUUAGAGCCCCUUCCCUUGGAAUAUUAAUGGAUACAAUAGUAAUUAUUCAUGGUUCUGCGUAACAGAGAAGACCCACUUAUGUGUAUGCCUUUAUCAUUGCUCCUAGAUAGUGUGAACUACCUACCACCUUGCAUUAAUAUGUAAAACACUAAUUGCCCAUAGUCCCACUCAUUAGUCUAGGAUGUCCUCUUUGCCAUUGCUGCUGAGUUCUGACUACCCAAGUUUCCUUCUCUUAAACAGUUGAUAUGCAUAAUUGCAUAUAUUCAUGGUUCUGUGCAAUAAAAAUGGAUUCUCACCCCAUCCCACCUUCUGUGGGAUGUUGCUAACGAGUGCAGAUUAUUCAAUAACAGCUCUUGAACAGUUAAUUUGCACAGUUGCAAUUGUCCAGAGUCCUGUCCAUUAGAAAGGGACUCUGUAUCCUAUUUGCACGCUACAAUGUGGGCUGAUCACCCAAGGACUCUUCUUGUGCAUUGAUGUUCAUAAUUGUAUUUGUCCACGAUCUUGUGCACUAACCCUUCCACUCCCUUUGUAUUCCAGCAGGGGACCCUUACUACUCAAGACCUCUGUACUAGGACAGUUUAUGUGCACAAUCCUAAUUGAUUAGAACUGAGUCUUUUAUAUCAAGGUCCCUGCAUCAUCUUUGCUUUACAUCAAGAGGGUGCUGGUUACCUAAUGCCCCUCCUCCAGAAAUUAUUGAUGUGCAAAAUGCAAUUUCCCUAUCUGCUGUUAGUCUGGGGUCUCAUCCCCUCAUAUUCCUUUUGUCUUACAGCAGGGGGUACUUGGGACUGUUAAUGCGCAUAAUUGCAAUUAUGGUCUUUUCCAUUAAAUUAAGAUCCCAACUGCUCACACCCUCUUAGCAUUACAGUAGAGGGUGCUAAUCACAAGGACAUUUCUUUUGUACUGUUAAUGUGCUACUUGCAUUUGUCCCUCUUCCUGUGCACUAAAGACCCCACUCACUUCCCUAGUGUUCAGCAGUGGAUGACCUCUAGUCAAGACCUUUGCACUAGGAUAGUUAAUGUGAACCAUGGCAACUGAUCACAACAAUGUCUUUCAGAUCAGAUCCAUUUUAUCCUCCUUGUUUUACAGCAAGGGAUAUUAAUUACCUAUGUUACCUUUCCCUGGGACUAUGAAUGUGCAAAAUUCCAAUGUUCAUGGUCUCUCCCUUUAAACCUAUAUUCUACCCCUUUUACAUUAUAGAAAGGGAUGCUGGAAACCCAGAGUCCUUCUCUUGGGACUCUUAAUGUGUAUUUCUAAUUAUCCAUGACUCUUAAUGUGCAUAUUUUCAAUUGCCUAAUUGAUUUCAAUUGUCUAAGACAUUUCAAAUGUCUAAUUGAUUAGAACUGAGUCUUUUAUAUCAAGCUAAUAUCUAGCUUUUAUAUCAAGCUAAUAUCUUGACUUCUCAGCAUCAUAGAAGGGGGUACUGAUUUCCUAAAGUCUUUCUUGAAUUUCUAUUAUGCAAAAUUGCCCUGAGGCCGGGUGUGGUGGCUCACACCUGUAAUCCCAGCACUUUGGGAGGCUGAGGUGGGAAGAUCCCUUACUGCCAGGAGUUUGAGACCAGCCUGGCCAACAUUAAAAAAAAAAAAAAGUAAGACAAUUGCCCUGGAAUCCCAUCCCCCUCACACCUCCUUGGCAAAGCAGCAGGAGUGCUAACUAGCUAGUGCUUCUUCUCUUAUACUGCUUAAAUGCGCAUAAUUAGCAGUAGUUGAUGUGCCCCUAUGUUAGAGUAGAAUCCCGCUUCCUUGCUCCAUUUGCAUUACUGCAGGAGCUUCUAACUAGCCUGAAUUCACUCUCUUGGACUGUUAAUGUGCAUACUUAUAUUUGCUGCUGUACUUUUUUACCAUGUAAGGACCCCACCCACUGUAUUUACAUCCCAGCUGGAAGUACCUACUACUUAAGACCCUUAGACUAGUAAAGUUAGCGUGCAUAAUCUUAGGUGUUAUAUACACAUUUUCAGUUGCAUACAGUUGUGCCUUUUAUCAGGACUCCUGUACUUAUCAAAGCAGAGAGUGCUAAUCAAUAUUAAGCCCUUCUCUUCGAACUGUAGAUGGCAUGUAAUUGCAGUUGUCAAUGGUCCUUCAAUUAGACUUGGGUUUCUGACCUAUCACACCCUCUUUGCUUUAUUGCAUGGGGUACUAUUCACUUAAGGCCCCUUUCUCAAACUGUUAAUGUGCCUAAUGACAAUUACAUCAGUAUCCUUCCUUUUGAAGGACAGCAUGGUUGGUGACACCUAAGGCCCCAUUUCUUGGCCUCCCAAUAUGUGUGAUUGUAUUUGUCGAGGUUGCUAUGCACUAGAGAAGGAAAGUGCUCCCCUCAUCCCCACUUUUCCCUUCCAGCAGGAAGUGCCCACCCCAUAAGACCCUUUUAUUUGGAGAGUCUAGGUGCACAAUUGUAAGUGACCACAAGCAUGCAUCUUGGACAUUUAUGUGCGUAAUCGCACACUGCUCAUUCCAUGUGAAUAAGGUCCUACUCUCCGACCCCUUUUGCAAUACAGAAGGGUUGCUGAUAACGCAGUCCCCUUUUCUUGGCAUGUUGUGUGUGAUUAUAAUCGUCUGGGAUCCUAUGCACUAGAAAAGGAGGGUCCUCUCCACAUACCUCAGUCUCACCUUUCCCUUCCAGCAGGGAGUGCCCACUCCAUAAGACUCUCACAUUUGGACAGUCAAGGUGCGUAAUUGUUAAGUGAACACAACCAUGCACCUUAGACAUGGAUUUGCAUAACUACACACAGCUCAACCUAUCUGAAUAAAAUCCUACUCUCAGACCCCUUUUGCAGUACAGCAGGGGUGCUGAUCACCAAGGCCCUUUUUCCUGGCCUGGUAUGCGUGUGAUUAUGUUUGUCCCGGUUCCUGUGUAUUAGACAUGGAAGCCUCCCCUGCCACACUCCACCCCCAAUCUUCCUUUCCCUUCCGGCAGGGAGUGCCCUCUCCAUAAGACGCUUACGUUUGGACAAUCAAGGUGCACAGUUGUAAGUGACCACAGGCAUACACCUUGGACAUUAAUGUGCAUAACCACUUUGCCCAUUCCAUCUGAAUAAGGUCCUACUCUCAGACCCCUUUUGCAGUACAGCAGGGGUGCUGAUCACCAAGGCCCCUUUUCUUGGCCUGUUAUGUGCGUGAUUAUAUUUGUCUGGGUUCCUGUGUAUUAGACAAGGAAGCCUUCCCCCCGCCCCCACCCCCACUCCCAGUCUUCCUUUCCCUUCCAGCAGGGAGUGCCCCCUCCAUAAGAUCAUUACAUUUGGACAAUCAAGGUGCACAAUUAUAAGUGACCACAGCCAUGCACCUUGGACAUUAUUGGACAUUAAUGUGCGUAACUGCACAUGGCCCAUCCCAUCUGAAUAAGGUCCUACUCUCAGAUGCCCUUUGCAGUACAGCAGGGGUACUGAAUCACCAAGGCCCUUUUUCUUGGCCUGUUAUGUGUGUGAUUAUAUUUAUCCCAGUUUCUGUGUAAUAGACAUGAAAGCCUCCCCUGCCACACCCCACCUCCAAUCUUCCUUUCCCUUCCACCAGGGAGUGUCCACUCCAUAUACCCUUACAUUUGGACAAUCAAGGUGCACAAUUGUAAGUGAGCAUAGGCACUCACCUUGGACAUGAAUGUGCAUAACUGCACAUGGCCCAUCCCAUCUGAAUAAGGUCCUACUCUCAGACCCUUUUUGCAGUACAGCAGGGGUGCUGAUCACCAAGGCCCCUUUUCCUGGCCUGUUAUGUGUGUGAUUAUAUUUGUUCCAGUUCCUGUGUAAUAGACAUGGAAGCCUCCCCUGCCACACUCCACCCCCAAUCUUCCUUUCCCUUCUGGCAGGAAGUACCCGCUCCAUAAGACCCUUACAUUUGGACAAUCAAGGUGCACAAUUGUAAGUGACCACAACCAUGCAUCUUGGAAAUUUAUGUGCAUAACUGCACAUGGCUUAUCCUAUUUGAAUAAAGUCCUACUCUCAGACCCCCUUUGCAGUAUAGCUGGGGUGCUGAUCACUGAGGCCUCUUUGCUUGGCUUGUCUAUAUUCUUGUGUACUAGAUAAGGGCACCUUCUCAUGGACUCCCUUUGCUUUUCAACAAGGAGUACCCACUACUUUUUAAGAUUCUUAUAUUUGUCCAAAGUACAUGGUUUUAAUUGACCACAACAAUGUCCCUUGGACAUUAAUGUAUGUAAUCACCACAUGGUUCAUCCUAAUUAAACAAAGUUCUACCUUCUCACCCUCCAUUUGCAGUAUACCAGGGUUGCUGACCCCCUAAGUCCCCUUUUCUUGGCUUGUUGACAUGCAUAAUUGCAUUUAUGUUGGUUCUUGUGCCCUAGACAAGGAUGCCCCACCUCUUUUCAAUAGUGGGUGCCCACUCCUUAUGAUCUUUACAUUUGAACAGUUAAUGUGAAUAAUUGCAGUUGUCCACAACCCUAUCACUUCUAGGACCAUUAUACCUCUUUUGCAUUACUGUGGGGUAUACUGUUUCCCUCCAAGGCCCCUUCUGGUGGACUAUCAACAUAUAAUUGAAAUUUUCUUUUGUCUUUGUCAGUAGAUUAAGGUCAUACCCCAUCACCUUUCCUUUGUAGUACAACAGGGUGUCCUGAUCAACCAAAGUCCUGUUGUUUUGGACUGUUAAUAUGUGCAAUUACAUUUGCUCCUGAUCUGUGCACUAGAUAAGGAUCCUACCUACUUUCUUAGUGUUUUUAGCAGGUAGUGCCCACUACUCAAGACUGUCACUUGGAAUGUUCAUGUGCACAAACUCAAUUCUCUAAGCAUGUUCCUGUACCACCUUUGCUUUAGAGCAGGGGGAUGAUAUUCACUAAGUGCCCCUUCUUUUGGACUUAAUAUGCAUUAAUGCAAUUGUCCACCUCUUCUUUUAGACUAAGAGUUGAUCUCCACAUAUUCCCCUUGCAUCAGGGGCAUGUUAAUUAUGAAUGAACCCUUUUCUUUUAAUAUUAAUGUCAUAAUUGUAUUUGUGGACCUGUGUAGGAGAAAAAGACCCUAUGUUCCUCCCAUUACCCUUUGGAUUGCUGCUGAGAAGUGUUAACUACUCAUAAUCUCAGCUCUUGGACAAUUAAUAGCAUUAAUAACAAUUAUCAAGGGCACUGAUCAUUAGAUAAGACUCCUGCUUCCUCGUUGCUUACAUCGGGGGUACUGACCCACUAAGGCCCCUUGUACUGUUAAUGUGAAUAUUUGCAAUUAUAUAUGUCUCCUUCUGGUAGAGUGGGAUAUUAUGCCCUAGUAUCCCCUUUGCAUUACUGCAGGGGCUGCUGACUACUCAAAACUUCUCCUGGGACUGUUAAUAGGCACAAUGGCAGUUAUCAAUGGUUUUCUCCCUCCCUGACCUUGUUAAGCAAGCGCCCCACCCCACCCUUAGUUUCCCAUGGCAUAAUAAAGUAUAAGCAUUGGAGUAUUCCAUGCACUUGUCUAUCAAACAGUGGUCCAUACUCCCAACCCUUUUGCAUUGCGCCAGUGUGUAAAAUCACAGGUAGCCAUGGUGUCAUGCUUUAUAUACGAAGUCUUCCCUCUCUCUGCCCCUUGUGUGCCCUUGGCCCCUUUUUACAGACUAUUGCUCACAAUCUCAGGUGUCCAUAUUUGCAGCUAUUAGGUAAGAUUGUGCUGUCUCCCUCUUCCCUUCCCUCUGCCCUGCCCCUUUUGCCUCUUUGCUGGGUAAUGUUGACCAGACAAGGCCCUUUCUCUUGGACUUAAACAAUUCUCAGUUGCACUUUCCUUGGUCCCACCCAUUAUACAUGAACCCCUCUACUUCCUUUCGCAUUGCUUCUGAGUAUGCUGACUACCCAAAGCCCCUUCUGUGUUAUUAAUAAACACAGUACUGAUUGUCCCAUUUUUCAGCCCAUCAGUCCAAGAUCUCCCUACCACUUUGGUGUGUUGGUGCAGUGUUGACUAUGAAAAGCAGGCCUGAACUAGGUGGAUAAGCCUUCACUCAUUUUCUUUCAUUUAUUAAUGAUCCUAGUUUCAAUUAUUGUCAGAUUCUGGGGACAAGAACCAUUCUUGCCCACCUGUGUUACUGCUUUACUGUGCAAAAUACUGAAGGCAAGUCAGACCCAGGGAGCUGGAUUGCCAUCCUUUAUUUUGUGUUUCCAGUGUACACUAUAAAAUUGUCUCCCCAGGAAGGAAGGUUGGCACUUUCUCUGCAUUCUUCUUUCCAGAGCAGAUUGCCUGGUUAAGAAUCUCUUGUUGUCCCCUUUGUAUAUUGUUAUUGUAAAGUGCCAAAUGCCAGGAUACAGCCAGAAAAAUUGCUUAUUAUUAUUAAAAAAAUUUUUUUAAGAAAGACAUCUGGAUUGUAGGGUGGACUCGAUAACCUGGUCAUUAUUUUUUUGAAGCCAAAAUAUCCAUUUAUACUAUGUACCUGGUGACCAGUGUCUCUCAUUUUAACUGAGGGUGGUGGGUCUGUGGAUAGAACACUGACUCUUGCUAUUUUAAUAUCAAAGAUAUUCUAGAGUGGAACUCUUAAGACCAGUAUCUUUGUGUGGGCUUUACCAGCAUUCACUUUUAGAAAAACUACCUAAAUUUUAUAAUCCUUUAAUUUCUUCAUCUGGAGCACCUGCCCCUACUUAUUUCAAGAAGAUUGCAGUAAAACGAUUAAAUGAGGGAACAUAUGCAGAGGUGCUUUUAAAAAGCAUAUGCCACCUUUUUUAUUAAUUAUUAUAUAAAAUGAAGCAUUUAAUUAUAGUAAUAAUUUGAAGUAGUUUGAAGUACCACACUGAGGUGAGGACUUAAAAAUGAUAAGACGAGUUCCCUAUUUUAUAAGAAAAAUAAGCCAAAAUUAAAUAUUCUUUUGGAUAUAAAUUUCAACAGUGAGAUAGCUGCCUAGUGGAAAUGAAUAAUAUCCCAGCCACUAGUGUACAGGGUGUUUUGUGGCACAGGAUUAUGUAAUAUGGAACUGCUCAAGCAAAUAACUAGUCAUCACAACAGCAGUUCUUUGUAAUAACUGAAAAAGAAUAUUGUUUCUCGGAGAAGGAUGUCAAAAGAUCGGCCCAGCUCAGGGAGCAGUUUGCCCUACUAGCUCCUCGGACAGCUGUAAAGAAGAGUCUCUGGCUCUUUAGAAUACUGAUCCCAUUGAAGAUACCACGCUGCAUGUGUCCUUAGUAGUCAUGUCUCCUUAGGCUCCUCUUGGACAUUCUGAGCAUGUGAGACCUGAGGACUGCAAACAGCUAUAAGAGGCUCCAAAUUAAUCAUAUCUUUCCCUUUGAGAAUCUGGCCAAGCUCCAGCUAAUCUACUUGGAUGGGUUGCCAGCUAUCUGGAGAAAAAGAUCUUCCUCAGAAGAAUAGGCUUGUUGUUUUACAGUGUUAGUGAUCCAUUCCCUUUGACGAUCCCUAGGUGGAGAUGGGGCAUGAGGAUCCUCCAGGGGAAAAGCUCACUACCACUGGGCAACAACCCUAGGUCAGGAGGUUCUGUCAAGAUACUUUCCUGGUCCCAGAUAGGAAGAUAAAGUCUCAAAAACAACCACCACACGUCAAGCUCUUCAUUGUUCCUAUCUGCCAAAUCAUUAUACUUCCUACAAGCAGUGCAGAGAGCUGAGUCUUCAGCAGGUCCAAGAAAUUUGAACACACUGAAGGAAGUCAGCCUUCCCACCUGAAGAUCAACAUGCCUGGCACUCUAGCACUUGAGGAUAGCUGAAUGAAUGUGUAUUUCUUUGUCUCUUUCUUUCUUGUCUUUGCUCUUUGUUCUCUAUCUAAAGUGUGUCUUACCCAUUUCCAUGUUUCUCUUGCUAAUUUCUUUCGUGUGUGCCUUUGCCUCAUUUUCUCUUUUUGUUCACAAGAGUGGUCUGUGUCUUGUCUUAGACAUAUCUCUCAUUUUUCAUUUUGUUGCUAUUUCUCUUUGCUCUCCUAGAUGUGGCUCUUCUUUCACGCUUUAUUUCAUGUCUCCUUUUUGGGUCACAUGCUGUGUGCUUUUUGUCCUUUUCUUGUUCUGUCUACCUCUCCUUUCUCUGCCUACCUCUCUUUUCUCUUUGUGAACUGUGAUUAUUUGUUACCCCUUCCCCUUCUCGUUCGUUUUAAAUUUCACCUUUUUUCUGAGUCUGGCCUCCUUUCUGCUGUUUCUACUUUUUAUCUCACAUUUCUCAUUUCUGCAUUUCCUUUCUGCCUCUCUUGGGCUAUUCUCUCUCUCCUCCCCUGCGUGCCUCAGCAUCUCUUGCUGUUUGUGAUUUUCUAUUUCAGUAUUAAUCUCUGUUGGCUUGUAUUUGUUCUCUGCUUCUUCCCUUUCUACUCACCUUUGAGUAUUUCAGCCUCUUCAUGAAUCUAUCUCCCUCUCUUUGAUUUCAUGUAAUCUCUCCUUAAAUAUUUCUUUGCAUAUGUGGGCAAGUGUACGUGUGUGUGUGUCAUGUGUGGCAGAGGGGCUUCCUAACCCCUGCCUGAUAGGUGCAGAACGUCGGCUAUCAGAGCAAGCAUUGUGGAGCGGUUCCUUAUGCCAGGCUGCCAUGUGAGAUGAUCCAAGACCAAAACAAGGCCCUAGACUGCAGUAAAACCCAGAACUCAAGUAGGGCAGAAGGUGGAAGGCUCAUAUGGAUAGAAGGCCCAAAGUAUAAGACAGAUGGUUUGAGACUUGAGACCCGAGGACUAAGAUGGAAAGCCCAUGUUCCAAGAUAGAUAGAAGCCUCAGGCCUGAAACCAACAAAAGCCUCAAGAGCCAAGAAAACAGAGGGUGGCCUGAAUUGGACCGAAGGCCUGAGUUGGAUGGAAGUCUCAAGGCUUGAGUUAGAAGUCUUAAGACCUGGGACAGGACACAUGGAAGGCCUAAGAACUGAGACUUGUGACACAAGGCCAACGACCUAAGAUUAGCCCAGGGUUGUAGCUGGAAGACCUACAACCCAAGGAUGGAAGGCCCCUGUCACAAAGCCUACCUAGAUGGAUAGAGGACCCAAGCGAAAAAGGUAUCUCAAGACUAACGGCCGGAAUCUGGAGGCCCAUGACCCAGAACCCAGGAAGGAUAGAAGCUUGAAGACCUGGGGAAAUCCCAAGAUGAGAACCCUAAACCCUACCUCUUUUCUAUUGUUUACACUUCUUACUCUUAGAUAUUUCCAGUUCUCCUGUUUAUCUUUAAGCCUGAUUCUUUUGAGAUGUACUUUUUGAUGUUGCCGGUUACCUUUAGAUUGACAGUAUUAUGCCUGGGCCAGUCUUGAGCCAGCUUUAAAUCACAGCUUUUACCUAUUUGUUAGGCUAUAGUGUUUUGUAAACUUCUGUUUCUAUUCACAUCUUCUCCACUUGAGAGAGACACCAAAAUCCAGUCAGUAUCUAAUCUGGCUUUUGUUAACUUCCCUCAGGAGCAGACAUUCAUAUAGGUGAUACUGUAUUUCAGUCCUUUCUUUUGACCCCAGAAGCCCUAGACUGAGAAGAUAAAAUGGUCAGGUUGUUGGGGAAAAAAAAGUGCCAGGCUCUCUAGAGAAAAAUGUGAAGAGAUGCUCCAGGCCAAUGAGAAGAAUUAGACAAGAAAUACACAGAUGUGCCAGACUUCUGAGAAGCACCUGCCAGCAACAGCUUCCUUCUUUGAGCUUAGGUGAGCAGGAUUCUGGGGUUUGGGAUUUCUAGUGAUGGUUAUGGAAAGGGUGACUGUGCCUGGGACAAAGCGAGGUCCCAAGGGGACAGCCUGAACUCCCUGCUCAUAGUAGUGGCCAAAUAAUUUGGUGGACUGUGCCAACGCUACUCCUGGGUUUAAUACCCAUCUCUAGGCUUAAAGAUGAGAGAACCUGGGACUGUUGAGCAUGUUUAAUACUUUCCUUGAUUUUUUUCUUCCUGUUUAUGUGGGAAGUUGAUUUAAAUGACUGAUAAUGUGUAUGAAAGCACUGUAAAACAUAAGAGAAAAACCAAUUAGUGUAUUGGCAAUCAUGCAGUUAACAUUUGAAAGUGCAGUGUAAAUUGUGAAGCAUUAUGUAAAUCAGGGGUCCACAGUUUUUCUGUAAGGGGUCAAAUCAUAAAUACUUUAGACUGUGGGCCAUAUGGUUUCUGUUACAUAUUUGUUUUUUAAACAACGUUUUUAUAAGGUCAAAAUCAUUCUUAGUUUUUGAGCCAAUUGGAUUUGGCCUGCUGUUCAUAGCUUACCACCCCCUGAUGUAUUAUUUGUUAUUCAGAGAAAAUUUCUGAAUACUACUAGUUUCCUUUUCUGUGCCUGUCCCUGUGCUAGGCACUAAAAAUGCAAUGAUUAUUGAUAUCUAGGUGACCUGAAAAAAAAUAGUGAAUGUGCUUUGUAAACUGUAAAGCACUUGUAUUCUACUGUGAUAAGCGUUGUGGAUACAAAGAAAGGAGCAAGCAUAAAAAAGUGCUCUUUCAAAAGGAUAUAGUACUAUGCAGACACAAGGAAUUGUUUGAUAAAUGAAUAAAUUAUAUGUAUAUUUGAGGCCAAUUUGUGUUUGCUGCUCUGGUAAUUUUGAGUAAAAAUGCAGUAUUCCAGGUAUCAGAAACGAAAACACAUGGAAACUGCUUUUAAACUUUAAAAUAUACUGAAAACAUAAGGGACUAAGCUUGUUGUGGUCACCUAUAAUGUGCCAGAUACCAUGCUGGGUGCUAGAGCUACCAAAGGGGGAAAAGUAUUCUCAUAGAACAAAAAAUUUCAGAAAGGUGCAUAUUAAAGUGCUUUGUAAACUAAAGCAUGAUACAAAUGUCAAUGGGCUACAUAUUUAUGAAUGAAUGAAUGGAUGAAUGAAUAUUAAGUGCCUCUUACAUACCAGCUAUUUUGGGUACUGUAAAAUACAAGAUUAAUUCUCCUAUGUAAUAAGAGGAAAGUUUAUCCUCUAUACUAUUCAGAUGUAAGGAAUGAUAUAUUGCUUAAUUUUAAACAAUCAAGACUUUACUGGUGAGGUUAAGUUAAAUUAUUACUGAUACAUUUUUCCAGGUAACCAGGAAAGAGCUAGUAUGAGGAAAUGAAGUAAUAGAUGUGAGAUCCAGACCGAAAGUCACUUAAUUCAGCUUGCGAAUGUGCUUUCUAAAUUAUAAAGCACUUGUAAAUGAAAAAUUUGAUGCUUUCUGUAUGAAUAAAACUUUCUGUAAGCUAGGUAUUGUCUCUACAAAAUUCUCAUUGUAUAGUUAAACCACAGUGAGAAGGGUUCUAUAAGUAGUUAUACAAACCAAGGGUUUAAAUACCUGUUAAAUAGAUCAAUUUUGAUUGCCUACUAUGUGAACUCACUGUUAAAGGCACUGAAAAUUUAUCAUAUUUCAUUUAGCCACAGCCAAAAAUAAGGCAAUACCUAUGUUAGCAUUUUGUGAACUCUAAGGCACCAUAUAAAUGUAACUGUUGAUUUUCUCACUUGGUGCUGGGUACUAGGUUUAUAAAAUUGUAUGAUAGUUAUUAUAUUGUGCAAAUAAAGUAGGAAAAUUUGAAUAACAAUGAUUAUCUUUUGAAUACGCAUACGCAAGGGAUUGGUUGUCUGAAGAAUGCCACUAUAGUAGUUAUCUAUUGUGUGCCAAUCUCAUUGCUAGGCAUUGGGGAUGCAAAGAUAAACCAUCUUUAUUGUGUCUUGGGUAGCAGAAGAAAAUAUGUGUAAAAUCAAUUUAUAAUUUGUAAACUGCCACCCAUAUAUAAGCUAUAUCUGCUGAAUGAUCAUUGAUUACUCUUAUCCUUAGAGAUAACAACUGGGGGCACAAACAUUUAUUAUCAUUAUUGAACCUACAACAGAGAUCUAUGUGUAGAUUUACAAAGCCUACAGUUCUAUACAGAUAGGAAUGAACUAUUGGCUUACUGAAUGGUGAUUACUUUCUGUGGGGCUCGGAACUACAUGCCCUAGGAUAUAAAAAUGAUGUUAUCAUUAUAGAGUGCUCACAGAAGGAAAUGAAGUAAUAUAGGUGUGAGAUCCAGACCAAAAGUCAUUUAACAAGUUUAUUCAGUGAUGAAAACAUGGGACAAAUGGACUAAUAUAAGGCAGUGUACUAAGCUGAGUAGAGAGAUAAAGUCCUGUCCAGAAGAUACAUGCUUCCUGGCCUGAUUGAGGAGAUGGAAAAUUUUUGCAAAAAACAAGGUGUUGUGGUCUUCCAUCCAGUUUCUUAAGUGCUGAUGAUAAAAGUGAAUUAGACCCACCUUGACCUGGCCUACAGAAGUAAAGGAGUAAAAAUAAAUGCCUCAGGCGUGCUUUUUGAUUCAUUUGAUAAACAAAGCAUCUUUUAUGUGGAAUAUACCAUUCUGGGUCCUGAGGAUAAGAGAGAUGAGGGCAUUAGAUCACUGACAGCUGAAGAUAGAAGAACAUCUUUGGUUUGAUUGUUUAAAUAAUAUUUCAAUGCCUAUUCUCUGCAAGGUACUAUGUUUCGUAAAUUAAAUAGGUCUGGCCCAGAAGACCCACUCAAUUGCCUUUGAGAUUAAAAAAAAAAAAAAAAAGAAAGAAAAAUGCAAGUUUCUUUCAAAAUAAAGAGACAUUUUUCCUAGUUUCAGGAAUCCCCCAAAUCACUUCCUCAUUGGCUUAGUUUAAAGCCAGGAGACUGAUAAAAGGGCUCAGGGUUUGUUCUUUAAUUCAUUAACUAAACAUUCUGCUUUUAUUACAGUUAAAUGGUUCAAGAUGUAACAACUAGUUUUAAAGGUAUUUGCUCAUUGGUCUGGCUUAGAGACAGGAAGACAUAUGAGCAAUAAAAAAAAGAUUCUUUUGCAUUUACCAAUUUAGUAAAAAUUUAUUAAAACUGAAUAAAGUGCUGUUCUUAAGUGCUUGAAAGACGUAAACCAAAGUGCACUUUAUCUCAUUUAUCUUAUGGUGGAAACACAGGAACAAAUUCUCUAAGAGACUGUGUUUCUUUAGUUGAGAAGAAACUUCAUUGAGUAGCUGUGAUAUGUUCGAUACUAAGGAAAAACUAAACAGAUCACCUUUGACAUGCGUUGUAGAGUGGGAAUAAGAGAGGGCUUUUUAUUUUUUCGUUCAUACGAGUAUUGAUGAAGAUGAUACUAAAUGCUAAAUGAAAUAUAUCUGCUCCAAAAGGCAUUUAUUCUGACUUGGAGAUGCAACAAAAACACAAAAAUGGAAUGAAGUGAUACUCUUCAUCAAACAGAAGUGACUGUUAUCUCAACCAUUUUGUUAAAUCCUAAACAGAAAACAAAAAAAAUCAUGACGAAAAGACACUUGCUUAUUAAUUGGCUUGGAAAGUAGAAUAUAGGAGAAAGGUUACUGUUUAUUUUUUUUCAUGUAUUCAUUCAUUCUACAAAUAUAUUCGGGUGCCAAUAGGUACUUGGUAUAAGGUUUUUGGCCCCAGAGACAUGGGAAAAAAAUGCAUGCCUUCCCAGAGAAUGCCUAAUACUUUCCUUUUGGCUUGUUUUCUUGUUAGGGGCAUGGCUUAGUCCCUAAAUAACAUUGUGUGGUUUAAUUCCUACUCCGUAUCUCUUCUACCACUCUGGCCACUACGAUAAGCAGGUAGCUGGGUUUUGUAGUGAGCUUGCUCCUUAAGUUACAGGAACUCUCCUUAUAAUAGACACUUCAUUUUCCUAGUCCAUCCCUCAUGAAAAAUGACUGACCACUGCUGGGCAGCAGGAGGGAUGAUGACCAACUAAUUCCCAAACCCCAGUCUCAUUGGUACCAGCCUUGGGGAACCACCUACACUUGAGCCACAAUUGGUUUUGAAGUGCAUUUACAAGGUUUGUCUAUUUUCAGUUCUUUACUUUUUACAUGCUGACACAUACAUACACUGCCUAAAUAGAUCUCUUUCAGAAACAAUCCUCAGAUAACGCAUAGCAAAAUGGAGAUGGAGACAUGAUUUCUCAUGCAACAGCUUCUCUAAUUAUACCUUAGAAAUGUUCUCCUUUUUAUCAUCAAAUCUGCUCAAGAAGGGCUUUUUAUAGUAGAAUAAUAUCAGUGGAUGAAAACAGCUUAACAUUUUACCAUGCUUAAGUUUUAAGAAUAAAAUAAAAAUUGGAAAUAAUUGGCCAAAAUUGAAAGGAAAAAUUUUUUUAAAAUUUCUCUAAAUGUAGGCCUGGCUGGGCUUUGACCUUUUCCGUUUUUAAAUCACUCACAGAGGGUGGGACAGGAGGAAGAGUGAAGGAAAAGGUCAAACCUGUUUUAAGGGCAACCUGCCUUUGUUCUGAAUUGGUCUUAAGAACAUUACCAGCUCCAGGUUUAAAUUGUUCAGUUUCAUGCAGUUCCAAUAGCUGAUCAUUGUUGAGAUGAGGACAAAAUCCUUUGUCCUCACUAGUUUGCUUUACAUUUUUGAAAAGUAUUAUUUUUGUCCAAGUGCUUAUCAACUAAACCUUGUGUUAGGUAAGAAUGGAAUUUAUUAAGUGAAUCAGUGUGACCCUUCUUGUCAUAAGAUUAUCUUAAAGCUGAAGCCAAAAUAUGCUUCAAAAGAAGAGGACUUUAUUGUUCAUUGUAGUUCAUACAUUCAAAGCAUCUGAACUGUAGUUUCUAUAGCAAGCCAAUUACAUCCAUAAGUGGAGAAGGAAAUAGAUAAAUGUCAAAGUAUGAUUGGUGGAGGGAGCAAGGUUGAAGAUAAUCUGGGGUUGAAAUUUUCUAGUUUUCAUUCUGUACAUUUUUAGUUAGACAUCAGAUUUGAAAUAUUAAUGUUUACCUUUCAAUGUGUGGUAUCAGCUGGACUCAGUAACACCCCUUUCUUCAGCUGGGGAUGGGGAAUGGAUUAUUGGAAAAUGGAAAGAAGAAAGUAACUAAAAGCCUUCCUUUCACAGUUUCUGGCAUCACUACCACUACUGAUUAAACAAGAAUAAGAGAACAUUUUAUCAUCAUCUGCUUUAUUCACAUAAAUGAAGUUGUGAUGAAUAAAUCUGCUUUUAUGCAGACACAAGGAAUUAAGUGGCUUCGUCAUUGUCCUUCUACCUCAAAGAUAAUUUAUUCCAAAAGCUAAGAUAAAUGGAAGACUCUUGAACUUGUGAACUGAUGUGAAAUGCAGAAUCUCUUUUGAGUCUUUGCUGUUUGGAAGAUUGAAAAAUAUUGUUCAGCAUGGGUGACCACCAGAAAGUAAUCUUAAGCCAUCUAGAUGUCACAAUUGAAACAAACUGGGGAGUUGGUUGCUAUUGUAAAAUAAAAUAUACUGUUUUGAAAACUUUGU
rnacentral:lncRNA from 1 species